CCCUUAGAUGUUCUGGGCCGCACGCGUGCUACACUGACCGGCGCAACAAGUUUCUUUCCUUGGCUUGAUAGGCCUGGGUAAUCUUUGAACGCCGGUCGUGAUGGGGAUAGAUCCUUGCAAUUUUUGAUCUUCAACGAGGAAUUCCUAGUAAAUGCGAGUCAUCAUCUCGCGUUGAUUACGUCCCUGCCCUUUGUACACACCGCCCGUCGCACCUACCGAUUGAAUGGUCCGGUGAAGCCUCGGGAUUGCGAAUGCUUCGUGCGGACGCGAGAACUUGGCUAAACCUUACCAUUUAGAGGAAGGUGAAGUCGUAACA
rnacentral:rRNA from 1 species